GAUCCUGGCUCAGAUUGAACGCUGGCGGCAGGCCUAACACAUGCAAGUCGAGCGGAUGACGGGAGCUUGCUCCUUGAUUCAGCGGCGGACGGGUGAGUAAUGCCUAGGAAUCUGCCUGGUAGUGGGGGACAACGUUUCGAAAGGAACGCUAAUACCGCAUACGUCCUACGGGAGAAAGCAGGGGACCUUCGGGCCUUGCGCUAUCAGAUGAGCCUAGGUCGGAUUAGCUUGUUGGUGAGGUAAUGGCUCACCAAGGCGACGAUCCGUAACUGGUCUGAGAGGAUGAUCAGUCACACUGGAACUGAGACACGGUCCAGACUCCUACGGGAGGCAGCAGUGGGGAAUAUUGGACAAUGGGCGAAAGCCUGAUCCAGCCAUGCCGCGUGUGUGAAGAAGGUCUUCGGAUUGUAAAGCACUUUAAGUUGGGAGGAAGGGUUGUAGAUUAAUACUCUGCAAUUUUGACGUUACCGACAGAAUAAGCACCG
rnacentral:rRNA from 1 species